GGAGCCCAAGUGCAGAGGCUGGGGCUCAGACAGCCAAGGGGCCCCACACACAGGGCCUCGUCUCAGAGUCCUCCAGGCUGCUGGAUGACAAGCGCCGGCGCUGGGCAUUCCGACUGACGGCAUUGUCAUCAGCCUGCCAGGCACCUGGGGAACAGAAAAUGAACAUUACAGGAGCCAGACCUUUGGCCAGAUCCAGAUGGUGUCUCUAGCAGGGCAGCCCAGGAGUCAGCACGGAAGGAACAGGAUGCGUGUCACCUGAGACUCCGAUGAGGGUGCGAGCCACAGCACUCGUGCGUGAGAACGGAGAGAAGCAGGUGCUGACAGGUGCAGAGGCUGCUCCUGCCCCCUGGGCUAGGUACAGUCACUGCCACUGUGGCUCCCAGACAGGGAGGGACAUGAAAGAUGUUCCUUGUUUUGUGAACUUACCCUGGGAUCCACUUUCGUAUUUUAAUCACUUGGUUUUAAAGUUUGCCUAUAUGUUACGAUAGACAGGAAAAGGAAAUUGGGCCUCGCUGAGCUAUUUUCAUCGGGGCAGGAAGAGGUGGGGGGAAGUGAGAAGACUGUUCGUUCUGGCCCGAAGUGUUAAUGUUUUCUGUGGGGGCCCCGGGGGGCAGGAAAGGACUGGCCACCCAGCAGGGUUUCUGGGAUAGAAGGCUGCCCGGAGGGAGGACAGUGUGAGGCUCCAGCCCCCAUCACCUGCCGUUUUCCUCUCCUCCUGCACCUACGCAGCUGUUGAGGUUUGCUACUAGCUGGUGCCAUCAGUCCAGCAGACACCAGCCUGAGAGCCUCGGGGUCCCACAGAUACCACCACUGAACGCAUCCUCUCCCCAAAUCUGCUGUUGUCCCCACGUAAGGAGCGCCAGUGCCCAUCUGGAAACCCAUUCUUGGUGCUUCUCUUUCGUGUUCUGGAUCCAGUCCUCCACAACCUCCUGUGGGCUCACUUCCUAGCGGUGUUGUGACUCCAUCUGUAGUCACACUAACCUGGGCUCCACUCCCAGUUUACAAUGGUGUGAUCCGGGGCACAUCAAUUUACUGUGGGCCUUGGUUUUCUCAUCCAUCAGAUGGGAGAUGAGUACUGACCUCACAGGCUUGCUGUGAGGACUAGACGAGAGAAUGCGAGUGUUGGUGAGUGACUCCUAGAACAGCCUGUGCUCAGGCUCUUCCAGGCCAUCUCGCCUCUCCCCUGAGAGUCCUCUUCAUCUCCCGCCCACAGAUGAGCUCACUCCCUCCAGUGCCCUCCCUCCGGUGAGGCUAGAGCGCUCGCUCUCCCUCCUUGGGCCUUGGCUGCCUCCGCUCUCAGGGCCCCCUGGCUCCCUGGGGUAGGGAAGGCAUGUUGUCCUCCGGACCCUGUGGGCCUCCCAAGCAUGUCUCCCAGUGCCCUCCCCUCACAAGGCACCUCUGGCAGGGUAAGGCACAGUGUGCUCCUAAGUGCUCCCUGCAGCCUGAACUACUGCUCCACGCAUGCCUCACAUGGUGGAAAACGCUAGGUCCCGGAGCUCCUCCAUGGGACGAAGCUCCUCCUGGGCAGGGGCUGUGACUUCUUCACUGUUGCAGUCCAGAGCCCGGCACAACACCUGACCCACAGGAGGACCUGUUCAGUGGACGAGGCCGACCAACUGUAGAGUGUGGCCGUGAGGUUGAGAGAGGCCACUCACAAGUGUCCAGGGUCAGCCUCAGGCCAAUCCAGGACAUGAAACUCUUUAAUGGCACGUGGAGUCAGCAGGUAUAAAUGGCUUACUUCCAUCAAUGCCUGGGUGCGCUAAUCCACCUCAGACUCCAGUAACAGUCUCUGGUGCUUGACCCCAGGGCAACGGUGAGAACAGGAGUGUCUUGGAUCUCUCUCACAUCCAAACUGAAUUUGGGAUCUUUACUCCCUGGGGGUGGGUACUGGAGCCUGGGACAUGAGUCAAGCUGUUUUUUUCACCUCUAAUGGUGGCACUAUGUGUCUAAGUGUGGCAGGAUGAAUGUAAGGCAAUAUUAAUAUUGCCUUUAAAGUGAGGAACCCAAAAUAAAAUGAGCUGUUUGUUCAUUCAUAUAAUUUGGUAGAUCUCAUACCUAUUCCUCAAUGUUUAUGGGGCAGGACUCCGGAGCUGCGGCUGUUCAGUAGGAAAGACCAAAAGCAAAUGGUAAACAAGAGAGAAGACACACAUGCAUGCACAAAUAAAAACAGCAGCACCACCACCACCACCGCCACCACCAGCAAGCCACGGAACGCUGGGCCUGAGAGGCUGCCCAGAGAGCCGUCCUGACUCUGAAUUCACAGGAGUCCUCGCUACAAACUCCACCCUUCUAUUCUAUAGGAGUCUUAGCCAGGGCAGAACAUCGGUUACUUGUGGAAGACUCAAGAAUCAGAUCUGAAGUCUGCUCUCCUGGCCUCUUGGCUGAUGGAGAGUGGCAACCACAGAGGUCGUGUGGCUCCAACGCCUCCAGCCACGUCGCUGAGCGAGUAAAGCACUGGACCCGUGAUGUGGCUGUUCUGAAGCUGAAGUGAGUCUUCGUUCGGGGAAUGUUUAAGAGGAUUCAAACAACACGGUGUGAAGGACAAUCUCUGUCGUGAAACCCGGAGGGGACAUCUGACUGAGUCCACUUGGGCAAGAUGUGGAUUUUAGAAAAGCAGUUUUUAGAGCCCUUGAAUGGGCACAUUAACUAAAAAGGCGCUCGGUGCUCAACGUGUGAUUAACCUGAUCCUGUGUAAGACAUUAGCUAGAUUCAGUUUAGCAUCAUAAGGAGGAAUAAGGGGCACAGUGACAACCUGAUCACCUGUGAAGUUACAGCUCCAGGGAGCAUAAAGGAGCCCUAACUUGACCUCUCCGCUGGGAUCCAAAUCCAGUAGUAUGUACAAUGCAACUGGUAACCCAAAGCUCAUGGAUCACAGAGCCAUGCCCUAGCCUCUAAAAUGCUGACUUUCACAUCCCUCUCCGAUCCUAGCUGAAACACUUUUCUUCUGAGGAGCUACGGCUUCACUUUUAAGGGGUUCAGGCAAUCCUUCCAAGACCUUCGUAGAGAGGUGGUGUCUGUCUGCUCAAACUUCCUGUUGAUGAAAACAAGACCAGGCCACCUGACAUGGCACCUGCAAGGCCGUGAUGUGGGGUGGAGAGUGGUUAGGCCAAAUCAUAAGUUUUGUUUCUUUCUUCCUAUCCUAAUAUUCUCACUCAGAGCAAGGCUGGCUCAUUGCAAAAAGCUCAAGGACUCUCCCAGGCCUUCUUACUUCCUUUCAGCAACUGGUCUCCAGCACUAGCACACCCCAGGCCUUCUUGGCAGGAACUGCAGGGCAGGAGAUGGGUGUACCAGGGUGAGAGCAGGGGUAAGAGCACAGGGAUAGUCCCCCACCAAGUUCAUGUUCAGCAGACUGCCACUCACCAGGUAAGCAGACCUCAGAGCACAGCUUAUUGUCCAGUGCUUUCACGCUUGCGAUGUCAAAGUCAUUGUUAUUGUCACACUCCAUACCUAGAAAUGCGCAUGUCCUCUGGCCUGUAAUGGAGUUAAUGCAGUUAGAGAGGUGCUGGCUAUGUUUUUCUCUGCAUUGCUGUCCUUAAAAUAAAAAUCUUAAGGAUGGAGACCAAAAAAAAUCAAAUAAUGUGUUAAAAAAGACAAUAAUUUAGUGGGUAAAGAGUGGACAAGAAAGGAAUCACAUUGUGUGGCAUGUCUGUAUUCUCACGCUAUCCUGCUGUUUCCCUAGAGCCCUUUCCGUCUGCUGUUCCCUAACAAGUCAGAUCACUGAGGAGGGCUGUGGGACACAGGCUCAACAGAGAACACUAGAGCGAGCAGAGCUGGGCAGAGGCCAGGCUGGUGAGGCUGCAACCAGCCGGCAGAAGCUAGGGAGGGCCAGUGGGGAGGUCAUCCUGCUCAUGCCUGCGUCUGCCUUGGGUGCGAGCUGGGUGUGUUUAUGACCACAUGGCUCUGCAAAAUAAGUACAUGAAACAACAACUAAAGGUCUUAGGGUCCAUAAUUUUGCAUAUCAAAUCAGAAUGACUACAUUCACAAAAUUAUGAUUUCCUUUCUUACGAGACCUCAGUUGUUAUUUUCAGUGUGUUUUAAGUGGCUAACCAGAAAUCUACGGACAUGUAAGAAAGGAAGGGAAAAGUUUUAAAAGGUGUCUUUUUUUAAAAUCAAGCUCCCCUCUUUUUUUCUCAGUGAAAACAGAGAGAAUAAAACAAAUCUAUUCCACGGGCUAGGGAAUGUCAGGUGAAACCACCUGGCCACACUGUACUUCUUAGAAGCAAAUAUUCUAUGGGAGAAAUAAUCACAAGGGGUAACGCUAGAGCCUCAAGCACUGAAGUCAUCAACUGAGUUGGUGACACUCCAAACCCCCUUGGGCUGGGGUGCAAGAGCUGACGGAGGCAGCCUUGGUGGCCACCUUCUCCUUCAAGCUCCUUGGCCAGGCGGGACCUGUCAUGUCCACAUGCGCACCUCCAACACUUCCCAAGCGAUGGCCAGCACUAAAGCAGAAGCAAUAGGAUGACAUCUGCUGGCGCUUCUGCAUCCAGGCCGGGCAUAUGUGUGCUCUGGAGGCGCCCCUAAGGGAGGUGCCUCAGAGCAGCAGGAGGAAGAGUCUGGCUCCUGGAACACGUGGUGUUCGCUGCUUGGGGGAGACUUUCCUGCCCACCUUCUUCCUCCUAUGUCCUUGCUCUGUGGGCCAUUCCUUCUCUUCUAGCCUUCCUGGAAACAACAUUCUUCCAACUGAAGAUAUAACUGAGGCCUGAAUUAUGGUAAAGGAAGAUCAUUACAAUAGCCUUUAAAAUACUUGCCUAAGCUGAGCUCCUGAAGAAACUUGGACCUGUUUCCUUGACCACGCCUUUAAUAUGUCUGCUGGCUCCUGAGAGUCCUCUUUUACAGUAAUGUCGACCAUUUUCCUAACUAAAGCAAGACCUGACCAGCUGCCAAAUAGUCCUCCUCCUCCCCACAGUGGAAGAAAUGGCUACUGCUGUUCAACACUGAGACUGCCAGAAGAGCUCUAUGGGGCUCCACUGAAAACCUGCAGCAGGGAGGCUGAUGAUGGGAACUGCUUAGAGAGCUUCUGAAUCUACUUGAGGUAAAUAUGGACCUGUAUGUAUCUCCUGCAGCACCCGCACCUGACAUCCAUGGCUCUGAGACCCAGAAAGAGCUGAGGAGGUUAUAGAGGUCAUCAAUGCCCUGCUUGCUUUGAUGUACCACUAAGACGACGACCUUUCCCUUAACAGUCCCACACAACUGAGCAGUGCCACCAAGUCAUACCAGUACCCUUUUCUUUACCCCUUAAAGAAGACCCAGGAAAGAAAUAUAACUAAAGGAAGCAAAGGACCAGAUCUUUUACCAUCUUCCUGCGUGGGUGAUCCAUCCUCUUCCUCCAUAACAUCAUUUCCCUAGGACAGAAGGAAGGUCCUGUGAGUCUAUAAAGCAGCAAAAUGAGUAAACUGAUUGGCUGAAGACAGAACUAAUCAUCCUAAUGGUAUCUAAGUCCAGGGCCUACGUUAACAGCAUAUACUUCCAUCUGUGUUUAAUAUGCCUGAGAGGCUGAGUAGAGGCAGAUUUUGCUUGGUGAGGCACCGUCUGCCUAUAGGGAUUAGAUCCGAGCCACAUUACCCAUGUAUGCUCAGAAUGGUCUGUCAGGAACACCCUUGUUAAUAGUUUAGCUGAUACUGUUUCUCGUGUGUGUGUGUGUGUGUGUGUGUGUGUGUGUGUGUGUGUUUUGAGACAGAGUUUCGCUCUUGUUGCCCAGGCUAGAGUGCAAUGGCAUGAUCUCGGCUCACCACAACCUCCACCUCCCAGGUGCAAGUGAUUCUCCUGCCUCAGCCUCCCUAGUAGCUGGGAUUACAGGCAUGUGCCACCACGCCCGGCAAACUGAUACCGUUUCUCUAAGGUAGAAGUAAAAGUUACUAAAUGAAA